CGACUCAUUGCGACCCCAUGGACUGUAGCCCAUCAGGCUCCUCCAUCCAUGGGAUUCUCCAGAUGGAAGGACACAUACAAAUGGAUUAGGGAGGUAAACAAUGAAAACUACAUACUGGAUAAUAAACUGAAAAGAGUUUGGAACUGAGCAUGGCAGAGAAGGAAAUGUAUAAGCACAUAUGGAGAUUGAAUCUCACAGGUGAAAGGUGGUUUAUGGUUUUUCCAGUAGUCAUGUAUGGAUGUGAGAGUUGGACUGUGAAGAAAGCUG